rnacentral:rRNA from 1 species
UAGGGAAUUUUCGGCAAUGGGCGAAAGCCUGACCGAGCAACGCCGCGUGAGUGAUGACGGCCUUCGGGUUGUAAAGCUCUGUUGUAAGAAAAGAUAAACUAGUAGAGAAUAUUAGUUAGACAUUAUCUUACCAGAAAGCCACGGCUAACUACGUGCCAGCAGCCGCGGUAAUACGUAGGUGGCGAGCGUUAUCCGGAAUUAUUGGGCGUAAAGGGUGCGUAGGCGGUCUGUUAAGUUCAUGGUUAAAUUUUGGGGCUCAACCCCAUUGAGCCAUGGAUACUGGCAGACUAGAGUAUUGGAGAGGCAAGCGGAAUUCCAUGUGUAGCGGUAAAAUGCGUAGAUAUAUGGAGGAACACCGGUGGCGAAGGCGGCUUGCUAGCCAAAGACUGACGCUCAGGCACGAAAGCGUGGGGAGCAAAUAGG